GUCCGCGGGGUCCUAGCGCCGGAAGAUCAGCUGGUCACAGUCCGAUGGGUCCUAGUGCCGACGGUUGAACUCCUGCAGCUGUACAGAAACAGUUAAAGUUUAAAUUUGUCCGAAAGGAGGAAGAUUUGAGUGAAUGUCCAGGAGAACAAAGUGAAGUGAAGCUGUUGGACUUACAGGAGUUACUGAUUUCAUUAUGUGAAGCAUUUCCAGCUGGAACAGCACCAGUCUAAGAUCCACACUGAUGAACACAUCACGCAGACCGGAGCAGCUGGGAAUUGAACCACCAACCUUCUCAUUAGCCGAUGACCUUCAGAGUGAUGAGGAGGCUGUAAUCUUCCUCAGAGUAACACAUGAAACAUUCUGAACUUCCUUUGUGUUUUCUGUAAGUUUCUCUGAUCAGAGUUUGGCGAAAUUAUCAGGUCGAAGCUGAUGUGGUAAAACCUGCAGUUCCUCUGGUGGCCACCAGAUGCUGCUGUCGUAUACUGUCACGUAAAAAUGUUGAACUUUACCGCAGAAAUAAGCACGUUUACAGAAACCGUUUGGGUCUCUGUGGAUCAUUUCCUCCUUUAUAAUUGCAGCAUGGCAGGUGAUUGUUUUUAUAACGCUUCUUUUUUAACUUGAUUGAGGCUUCAGGUUUGGCGUGUGGCUCCUUUGGUUAGAGCUGGAGCUGGUAGCCUCGGCCUUGGCUCUCCGGAGUCAUUGAACUUGACCUGCGGGCCGAGUUUGUGCUGCUGUGCUGCGUCCUUGAAGUCUGUCCUCCAAGUUUGGGUGAAUUAAAGUCUAAGAUUUUGUUAGCCUGUUAUUUAGCUCUCAGUAUUAGAGGGUGCAGUGUCGGUGUGAUGCAUUAGCUUAAAAACCAGUCUUGCUAGGAGCAGCCGAUAACUUCCACUCUCUUGUCCAAAUAUGGUCGCUUCCAGCUCCAAAGAAACCAAGAUGGCUGCACUUAGACUGCAGUAACCAAAGGGUGGCCUCCUCCUCCUGUUAGCGUUCAGGGCUUCUUCUUUGACAAUCUGUGGAUUAAAAACCUUUUUAGGACUGUAAUGGGGGCAUCAACCACUUCAGAAGGAGCCUCCAUCAGCCGGGUGGUGCAUUAGUGAAGUCGUCUGGAGGCACGUGGGUCCCAUGUUUUGUUAAUAACAAGUCUCUCAUGAAAACCACUAAGUGGCAGAGCUGCCUGGUAAGUUUGCCUGUUGCUAUGGAUUCCAGCAUGGCGCUCUGGUUUUAAAAAGCAGAUCAGAUGAUGAGAGCUGAGGAGCAGCUGAAGCUGUUUUCAACAGCUGACCUCUGUCAGCCUCUGUGGGCUGAUUUGUUUGUGAGGAAUAAUCAGCAGGACCUGAUGACACCGCCGCCUCCUCGGACCAAUCCCUGACUCAGACCGUCUCCAGGACUGCUCGCCAGAUCGCACUCCCAGUGGUUUGUGGAUGGUUUGGAGGCAGUUUGAACAUGAAGCAGGAAACAAGCUGAAUACUGAAGACGGGCGACGUUAACAGUUAAAAGUUAAAAGUUAAAACCAGUUUAUUCUGUUUCUUGUGUUUUCAACAUUAGUAUUAAUAUAAAUACUCUGCUCCGUCUGAAUAAAGUAUUUACCAGAUGAAAAACUGCAGCGCAGGCAGACAGAUGUCGACUUGUUUCCAUGAACAAUACAGCUUCAUUCAAAGAAACACAGAUGAGACUGUAACACAGAAAGAAAAUGUUGAGUCUGCUUUCUAUAAAUAAAGUUACAUUUGAGCAUUAAACA